UCACACUACUACCACAAAUAUAAGUAUUAUUCUCCGCAUGUUAUAAAUGAGAAAAUGGAGACUCAGAGAAAAUGUGAUUUGCACAAGGCAACAACAUCUGAUAAAAGGUAGAACCAAGAUGCCAAUACAGAUCUGUUUUGCUUCAAACACCACGUUCUUUUUAUUCUCUAACCCUGCCAUGUAGCACCUUUGAAUAAUUCUUAAAUGUAUCAUUACAGGGUUGUUCAAUUUUUAGCUGCAAUGCUUAAUAUUUCUUAAUGACUCUAUUAUUACCAGUGAAUAAUCCUAUUCUUUAUUUAACGUGGAAUAAAUAUUGAUACUAGACCUUACAUUUAAAGAGACCAGUCUAGCAAGUGACUCUCAUUUUAACAAUAACCAUAUUAAAAGAGAAAAAAAUAAAGCAGUAAGUUAAAUAAAAGGUUAAUAAAACUUGGAGGAAACAGCUCAGUGUUUUCUUUUAAACCCUGAAGAAUACCAAAUGUAUGUUAUGUUGCAUAAAGAGUCAUGUCAAGAGAAGACUAUUAACAACCCAAUAGUAGAGUCAGCAUUAAGAACUUCAAUGAUAUUCAACUCAAACAUGCGUAGGGAGAGUAAAGUUAUUU
rnacentral:lncRNA from 10 species